rfam:BtMr-AlphaCoV/SAX2011, complete genome
GAGUGCGGGGCUCUAGUGAUGCUCGACUAGAGCCCCUAAAUGGCACUGACAUCGAUAGAUGUGUUCGUGCUUUUG